UACGUAGGUGGCGAGCGUUGUCCGGAUUUACUGGGCGUAAAGAGCGCGCAGGCGGUCGUGCAAGUCGCGUGUGAAAGCCCCCGGCUCAACUGGGGAGGGUCACGCGAUACUGCUCGACUUGAAGGCAGGAGAGGGAAGUGGAAUUCCCGGUGUAGUGGUGAAAUGCGUAGAUAUCGGAAGGAACGCCGGUGGCGAAAGCGGCGUGCUGGACCUCUUCUGACGCUGAGGCGCGAAAGCUAGGGGAGCAAACGGG
rnacentral:rRNA from 1 species